rnacentral:rRNA from 1 species
UGGGGAAUUUUGGACAAUGGGGGAAACCCUGAUCCAGCCAUCCCGCGUGUGCGAUGAAGGCCUUCGGGUUGUAAAGCACUUUUGGCAGGAAAGAAACGUCGCGGGUUAAUACCCCGCGAAACUGACGGUACCUGCAGAAUAAGCACCGGCUAACUACGUGCCAGCAGCCGCGGUAAUACGUAGGGUGCAAGCGUUAAUCGGAAUUACUGGGCGUAAAGCAUGCGCAGGCGGUUCGGAAAGAAAGAUGUGAAAUCCCAGAGCUUAACUUUGGAACUGCAUUUUUAACUACCGGGCUAGAGUGUGUCAGAGGGAGGUGGAAGUUCCGCGUGUAGCAGUGAAAUGCGUAGAUAUGCGGAGGAACACCGGAUGGCGAAGGCAGCCUCCUGGGAUAACGACUGACGCUCAUGCACGAAAGCGUGGGGAGCAAACAGGAUUAGAUACCCUGGUAGUCCACGCCCUAAACGAUGUCAACUAGCUGUUGGGGCCUUCGGCCUUGGUAGCGCAGCUAACGCGUGAAGUUGACCGCCUGGGGAGUAC